CCAAAGAGUUUCACAAGUGCAGUGUGACCAUUGAGAGAGACGGCGGUUGCAACCAUAUGGUGUGCAAGAACCAGAACUGCAAGAACGAGUUCUGUUGGGUCUGCCUCGGCUUCUGGAAGCCGCACGCUCCUCCUGGUACAACUGUAACCGGUACGAUGAGGAUGAGGCCAAUACAGCUCGUGAUGCCCAGGAGAAGUAGCACUCAUCCUUGGCCAGAACUUCUUGAUUCUGCAUGCAGCAGAAGGAGGAUAUUGAAACGGGUUUGGAGGAGUCCGCUCAGCAUUCGCAGACGGUGCAGCGCGUGCAGACUACCAAAAUGAAGGCGGAGGAUUUGCAACAAUACGCCAGCAAUGGGGCACCGUCUGAAGCGAGCUUGACGAAAGCAAGCUGUAAAACAUGGAGUUGGAGUCGAUAGACAAAUUCUUUUCGGCUUAACAAAAGAAUGCGGUAUCGGCUAUUGAUGGCUCCUAUGAGGAUCUGCGAGCAACUGGCGGCAAGCCAGCCAAGCAAGCAAGGUGCUCUCAGAGAUCGAUGGACGCCGGGCCCAGAACUGCACCAUCCUGCUCAGCAAGCUGAAGAUGAGCUAUAUGAAGAUAUCAAAGGCCAUUCUCCCGAUGGACAGCAACAAGAAGCUGAUACUCGACAUGGUCUAGCAGCUGCUAAAGUUCCCGCUCUCGGCGGAGGAGCGUGACUGUUGGAUGAGCAUAGCGAGGAUAUUGAGUCACUUGCCCGCACCGAUCGCUUCCUUUACGAAAUAUCAAAGAUUCCCCACUACGAGCAAAGGCUGAAGAGUUCACUACUGGAACUGCUUUAUGCCGACAUCAGCACUUCAGGGAGCAAUCAGAAUGGAAGUCAGCUGCAACAACAG